CCAGCCUGGCCGCUGCCCUGCGAUCAUGGGCACCGACGAGCACAGAAAAUGAAAUUAUUUAUAGCUGCCCGGUAUCCAUGGAUGGAUGGAGAGUUUUUACCUAGUACCAGUCUGGGGGACGGCGUGGGCGUCGGGUUCGUAUCACUUCGCAUAUCACGGUCGUGUUUCCGGUGUUUUCGUUGCUGGAAUGUUAGUGGCAAUAGGUCGAUGAAUCGCUCCUGGGUUAGGUUCAUGGUAUUCACUCACUAGCUUUAUUUUUCUUCUGAUACAACUGUGAUCUUCAUUUUGACCGUCGAAUGAUUUUCCGCUCAUUGGAACCGAAUAUCGAGUGUGGCGAUAGGCUUGCUUCCGUCGCUCAGCUAGUAUACAGUGAGUUGGUUUCAGAUUCGAGUGUGAGGCGGUCGUCGUCCUCUCUCUGUUGCUCUCAUGUCUCCGCCGGCCGCUUGCCCUGCGGCUUCGUGUCUCUCUACCGCCUCCGGUGUCGAUAGGAUGUCGUUCCCUCGGGGUGAGAAUUUGAGCUUCAGGUUUCAUGUGUCUGUAGCAGCACGGCCGCUCUCAAUGUCUUCGCGCAGCAUGAAUAAGUUAAUGAGCCUAGAGCUACGUUGAGAACGACCAGAUCUGCAUCAAUCGAUUUCUGAGUCUCGUCCGGGUGAAUAACUUGGACUAUGUUUCCACUCUCAAUUUCUUGCUCUCGCUCAUGAUUCGACGGAGCAUAGUUGUAAAGGAUAUAGUCCCAUUGUCCUGUUCAUUUGAACAAAUUCAUGCAGCACACUUUGUUAAAAAGUUGGUGCGAUUCGGGAAGAAAUUCUCUGGUGAUGUUAGACACAGGGGGAGCUUUAAUGCAAAGAAAGUCUAAAUUAUUCUUGAAUACCUGCUUGGAAACUCCUCUGGCUUAACAGUCACUUUAAAUUCUUUUGUCAAAGAGA